CCCAAACAAAUCCUAAUGCAAAUUUGGAGAGGAGCUCCUCCCUGGAAAGAGGUAGAAAGGCGGCGCUGUUGGCUUGUAAGGGUGCUGCUGGCAGAAGAAAUUGGUUAUAAGAGUGUGUUUCUGGAGUAAACGCAUUUAGUUACAGCACUGUGUUGUUGAGGGUGAUGAGGACCCUGGUGAGAUUUUUGUGUUAGAAAUCAUGGGAACAAAGAGGUCUCUUCAAGAUGCAGAUGAAGUGUUUGAGAAAAUGGUAGAGAGGAAUUCAGUGGUUAACCAAAGGGCACUUCGGAGUUGCCAUUGAAUGUGAGAAGAAAGGAUUCGUGCAAAACUAUGAACAUGGUCAAGUGAUGGAGAAGUUGAUCUCGAUGGUUUGGGAGAUGGAGAACCUCCGUGUGGAGAUUGUGAAUGCAAAGAAUAGAGCAUGUGUUACUGCUGCAGCUGGGAAUUCAGGCGGUAUGCCUUUUGAUUGGCUGUUUAUGGGCUGCAGGUUCAGCUGGUGCCUUUCUGGCCUUAUCUCUAUUAUGUCAAGCUAUCUGGGUAGAGUGGUGGCAAGCUGAAGCUAUCCUUUAUGUAUUGAUUUUGUGGCGCUGUGGCUUCUUACUCGUGCUUUAUUGACCUAUUCCUUAACUUUGAAGUCAUGUUUAAAGACGGUUUAGGUGCGCGAUAUGGAUAUCGCGCAUUGUUCGGGCCUUAUGUGUUUGGGCUUUUAAUCUUUGGGUUUUAACCCUUUGGUGGACUUAUUGUAUUUUAUCCAGAUCAGUUCCAUCAUUAUCACUUAAAAAUUUAU